AACGUAGGAGACAAACGUUAUCCGGAGUUAUUGGGCGUAAAGGGCUCGUAGGCGGUUUGUCGCGUCGGGAGUGAAAACCUCGGGCUUAACUCGGGGCUUGCUUUCGAUACGGGCAGACUAGAGGUAUGCAGGGGAGAACGGAAUUCCUGGUGUAGCGGUGAAAUGCGCAGAUAUCAGGAGGAACACCGGUGGCGAAGGCGGUUCUCUGGGCAUGAUCUGACGCUGAGGAGCGAAAGUGUGGGGAGCGAACAGG
rnacentral:rRNA from 1 species